AACAAGGCAAGAACCAAAGAUGGAAGGAUACUUGAGGUAUGAAAUAAGGAAGGAAAGAAAGAAAUCAGUAAAGAUACAAAAAAGGAAAGUAAACAAGCAAGGACACAAGGAAUGAAGAAAAGAUGGAAGGUUACUUGAGGUACGAAAUGAGUAAAAGAGGAAGGUAGGAAGGAAACAAGCAAGGACACAAGGAAUGAAGGAAAGAUGGAAGGUUACUUGAGGUACAAAAUGAGUAAAAGAGGAAGGUAGGGAGGAAACAAGCAAGGACACAAGGAAUGAAGGAAAGAUGGAAGGUUACUUGAGGUACGAAAUGAGUAAAAGAGGAAGGUAGGAAGAAAACAAGCAAGGACACAAGGAAUGAAGGAAAGAUGGAAGGUUACUUGAGGUACGAAAUGAGUAAAAGAGGAAGGUAGGAAGGAAACAAGCAAGGACACAAGGAAUGAAGGAAAGAUGGAAGGUUACUUGAGGUAAGAAAUGAGUAAGGAAGGAAGGGGAGGACGACUUGAAGGGAGGAAAUAAGGAAGGACACCAGUGAAGGAAAUAAGGAAGGACACAAAGAGGAAAGUUAUAGAGCUUACAGAGGAAGGGAGGAAUCGAAGAAAGAAGGGAAUGAGGGGAGACAUUGUAAUUUUCCAUACGUUUCCAGACCAGGAACGACAAAUAAACCUCCAGCGCUGAUAAAAA